rnacentral:rRNA from 1 species
UGGGGAAUAUUGCACAAUGGGGGAAACCCUGAUGCAGCGACACCGCGUGAAGGAAGAAGUAUCUCGGUAUGUAAACUUCUAUCAGCAGGGAAGAUAAUGACGGUACCUGACUAAGAAGCCCCGGCUAACUACGUGCC